UACGUAGGGUGCGAGCGUUGUCCGGAAUUAUUGGGCGUAAAGGGCUCGUAGGCGGUCUGUCACGUCGGGAGUGAAAACUCGGGGCUCAACCCCGAGCCUGCUUCCGAUACGGGCAGACUAGAGGUAUGCAGGGGAGAAUGGAAUUCCUGGUGUAGCGGUGAAAUGCGCAGAUAUCAGGAGGAACACCAAUGGCGAAGGCAGAUCUCUGGGCCGUAACUGACGCUGAGGAGCGAAAGCAUGGGGAGCGAACAGG
rnacentral:rRNA from 1 species